GUGCUUGCUUUGGCAGCACAUAUACUAAAACUGGAACGAUACAGAGGAGGUUAGCACGGCCCCUGCACAGGGAUGACACACAAAUUCAUAAACAAAGCUGGUUAAG